CAGCUGCAGUCGCAGGCUGGUUUCUCAGCGCAGCUUGCCGGGGAGGCUUGCUACCUGGGCUGAUGGAGACUUGCAAUUUGUCACGUAAGCGCAGUCCGCUCGCAGGUAGUGGCUGGCGUUCACUGAAGGGCGGCCGGUUCUGGAAUUCUCGGGGACUUGCACUGGUUCCGGCCACAUGGUCGCUGUCACUCCAGAAGUGGUAUCUGUGUUCCAGGCGGAGGCAGAGGGAAGAGGUCAGCGUGCAGGUGCUUGAUCCCUUUGGUCAAGAAAGCAGUUCAAGCUGAAGAAGAGAGAGGAAGGAGACAGUCUGGGAUACUGGGAAGAAUGUGAAGUCACUUCAGCAGCCUUGGAUUAUGUCUGGAUCUUUUAUAAUGUGAGAAGAAAUCAAUUCCUGCUUAGUUAAAACUGUGUGUCGACUUUGUCACAUCCAACCAAAUCCCGUCAUAACAGAUACGAAAAACAGUCACUUGAAUAUUUUCCUGGAGAGAACACGGAGCUUGGAAUUAGAAAGCCUGGUUUGAGUACUGUUUCUGCCACUCCCUAGCCAAGUGACUUUGGAUAAGUUGCUAAUUUUUUAGUAUUAGUUUCACAUGGGAAGAACUCACAUUUGAAGCGUUUUAAAGAAAAUCCUACCUGAAUGUGAAGCUGGCUCUGAGUAGACACAUGGUUGUCUUGAAAAUGAAGAUGUUCAUUUACAGACACAGAAAACAGUAUAUAGGAAAUAUAUUUGACAAGAUAGAGGAACAUUUUCCCAGCAGCUUACAGCCCACAGCCUAAAGUAUAAAAGUACAUAAAAUGCCUCCCACAAUGUCCACAUUAGUUACUUUCAAUCAUCUGCUGAAGGCUGAAGUGAUUAGUACUUAGGUCCCCAGCAAGAAAGGAAUCUCUGUAAGAAAACAAAUAUGUGCCAAGUGAUAUUCAGGAACUGAGAAUACAGUUGGAAAAAAAAAUCAAAAACUCAAAAAAACAGUCAAAAAAUCACACAUGAUUCCUUCCCCUCAUGGUGCUUAUUUUUCAGCAACUACAGAAGUUCCAGCAUUACACAAAUCUGUCGAUAGCGAUUGGGAACAGAAGGAGCAAGCACGAUAGAUAUGCAGGUGUCAACAUUUCUA